ACCCGCUGAAUUUAAGCAUAUAAUUAAGCGGAGGAAAAGAAACCAACUCGGAUUCCCCUAGUAACGGCGAGUGAAGCGGGAAGAGCUCAUGUUGUAAAUCUGGAUGAGGAUUCCUCGUCCCGAAUUGUAGUCUAGAGAUGCGUGCUCAGCUACUCUCCAGGGCUAAGUCUGUUUGUGAAAGACAGCAUCAUGGACGGUGAUAAUCCGGUUCUUGCCUUGGAUGUUGUAGCGUCUUGAGCCGUCCUCAACGAGUCGAGUUGCUUGGGAUUGCAGCUCUAAGCGGGUGGUAAAUUCCAUCUAAAGCUAAAUAUUGGUGGGAGACCGAUAGCGAACAAGUACCGUGAGGGAAAGAUGAAAAGAACUUUGAAAAGAGAGUUAAAUAGUACCUGAAACUGCUGAAAGGGAAGCGAAUGAAGUCAGUGUUGCUCUUUGUUCUCUGCAUCCUCCCUGCGGGGAUUGUGUAUCGAGGACUUUGAGCUUGUCAGGAUGAGUUCUCUGCCGCGGGAUAUGGUUUGUGAGCUGGAUGCUUCUGCUGAACUCACUCUCUCUGUCGUGGCUUGGACUGAGGUUCCAUCUUGCCGUUGCCUGCUUGUUACUCUCCUGUUGCUGUUUCUGUCCUACUGCUUGCAGUGUUCGGUUGCAGUGAUUGGACUGUGCAAGUUAUGCAUGCAAGGUCAGGAUCCUGACGAAAUGGCUUUAUUUACCCCGUCUUGAAACACGGACCAAGG
rnacentral:rRNA from 3 species